CACGGACUUUAGGUGUUGGACCGUGGGGAGAGAAUUAAACUUCUAGUUGACAAAACAGAGAACCUGCAGUUCCAGGCCAACAUUUUCCAAAGGCAAGCAAGGCAACAGCGUAGGAAGAUUUGGUUUUAGAAUCUCCAAAUGAAGGUUAUGGUGGGCGGAGCAGUCGUCAUAGUAAUAUUCUUGCUGU